rnacentral:rRNA from 1 species
ACCAGACUCCUACGGGAGGCAGCAGUAGGGAAUAUUGCUCAAUGGGGGAAACCCUGAAGCAGCAACGCCGCGUGGAGGAUGAAGGUUUUCGGAUUGUAAACUCCUUUUGUUAGAGAAGAUAAUGACGGUAUCUAACGAAUAAGCACCGGCUAACUCCGUGCCAGCAGCCGCGGUAAUACGGAGGGUGCGAGCGUUAAUCGGAAUUACUGGGCGUAAAGCGCACGUAGGCUGUAUGACAAGUCAAGGGUGAAAUGCCACGGCUCAACCGUGGAACUGCCUUUGAAACUGUCAAACUGGAGUAUGUGAGAGGGCGGCGGAAUUCCUGGUGUAGGAGUGAAAUCCGUAGAUAUCAGGAGGAACAUCAGUGGCGAAGGCGACUAUCUGGCACAUAACUGACGCUGAGGAGCGAAAGCGUGGGUAGCAAACAGGAUUAGAUACCCUCGUAA